rnacentral:misc_RNA from 1 species
GUAGGUGAACCUGCGGAAGGAUCAUUAUUGAAAUAAACCUGAUGGGUUGUUGCUGGUUCUCUAGAGAGCAUGUGCACGCCUUGUCAUCUUUAUAUCUCCACCUGUGCACCUUUUGUAGACCUUUCAGGUCUAUGUUGCUUUUUCAUUUACCCCAAUGUAUGUCAAUAGAAUGUUGUGACUAUAAAAUCUAUACAACUUUCAGCAACGGAUCUCUUGGCUCUC